rnacentral:rRNA from 1 species
UGCAGUCGAGGGGCAGCACAGGUAGCAAUACUGGGUGGCGACCGGCAAACGGGUGCGGAACACGUACGCAACUUUCCCAGGACUGGGGGAUAGCCCUCCGAAAGGAGGAUUAAUACCCCGUACUAUAGUGAGGUGGCAUCACCUUAUUAUGAUAGCUUUGGCGGUUCUGGAUGGGCGUGCGGCUGAUUAGGUAGUUGGCGGGGUAACGGCCCACCAAGCCAGCGAUCAGUAACUGGUGUGAGAGCACGACCAGUCACACGGGCACUGAGACACGGGCCCGACUCCUACGGGAGGCAGCAGUAAGGAAUAUUGGGCAAUGGACGCAAGUCUGACCCAGCCAUGCCGCGUGGAGGAUGAAGGCCCUCUGGGUUGUAAACUUCUUUUAUUGGGGAAGAACGGCCGAUUUUCUAAUUGGUGUGACGGUACCCGAUGAAUAAGCACCGGCUAACUCCGUGCCAGCAGCCGCGGUAAUACGGAGGGUGCAAGCGUUAUCCGGAUUCACUGGGUUUAAAGGGUGCGUAGGCGGGCAGUUAAGUCAGUGGUGAAAUCUCCGGGCUCAACCCGGAAACUGCCGUUGAUACUAUCUGUCUUGAAUGUUGUGGAGGUGAGCGGAAUAUGUCAUGUAGCGGUGAAAUGCUUAGAUAUGACAUAGAACACCGAUUGCGAAGGCAGCUCACUACACAAAAAUUGACGCUGAGGCACGAAAGCGUGGGGAUCAAACAGGAUUAGAUACCCUGGUAGUCCACGCCCUAAACGAUGAUUACUCGACGUGCGCGAUAAACAGUGCGCGUCUGAGCGAAAGCAUUAAGUAAUCCACCUGGGAAGUACGACCGCAGGGUGAAACUCAAAGGGAGUGAC